CCCUUAGAUGUUCUGGGCCGCACGCGUGCUACACUGAGUAAUUCAAUGGGUAAGGGAACGCUAGAGCAUUGCCUAAUCUUGAAAUUUGCUCGUGAUGGGGAUCGACGGUUGCAAUUUUCCGUCGUGAACGAGGAAUACCUUGUAGGCGCAUGUCAUCAUCAUGCGCCGAAUACGUCCCUGCCCUUUGUGCACACCGCCCGUCGCUCCUACCGAUUGAGUGAUCCGGUGAGGCUCUGGGACCUGGACGGAAAGAGCGUUUCGCUUGUUCUGUUUGGGAAACUUGGUCGAACCUUAUCAUUUAGAGGAAGGAGAAGUCGUAACA
rnacentral:rRNA from 1 species